rnacentral:tRNA from 4 species
GGGCCUGUAGCUCAGUCGGUAGAGCGUCGGACUUUUAAUCCGCUGGUCGUGGGUUCGAGCCCCACCGGGCCCA